rnacentral:rRNA from 1 species
GAUGACAAGCACUUUGAAAAGAGGGUGAAAAGAGCCUGAAACCGUCACGGGGGAAGCGGAUUGCGUUGGAUUGAUGGGCGCUUGUGUGUUCAGCCUUUAUGGUGCAUUGGCACAAGUGCUUAUCCGCUGUGAGUUCUCGGGGGUCGAUUUUGGAUCCCUGGGGACUGAGGGCUCCCUUUUUGGUGAGGACAGCGGAGUGACGACGCGAUACGACCCGUCUUGAAACACGGACCAAGGAGUCUAGCGCGGGUGCGAGUCAGAGGGUGCAAGCCCGUGGGCGAAGUGAAAGCGAGUGUAAAAACUAGCAGUUUGGGGCGGCAUAAGAUCGUUGAUCUCAAGACCGACCCAGAGCAGUUGCGCUGGGACCCGAAAGAUGGUGAACUAUGCCGGAGUAGGGCAAAGCCAGAGGAAACUCUGGUGGAGGCUCGUAGCGGUGCUGACGUGCAAAUCGCUCGUCGAACUUGGGUAUAGGGGCGAAAGACUAAUCGAACCAUCUAGUAGCUGGUUCCCUCCGAAGUUUCUCUC